GCUGGGCGUGGUGGCGCAUGCCUGUAAUCCCAGCUACUUGAAAGCUGAGGCGGGAGAAUCACUUGAACCCAGGAGGUGGAGGUUGCAGUGAGCCGAGAGAGAUCGCACCACUGCACACCAGCCUGGGUGACAGAGCAAGAUUCCGUCUCCA
rfam:Pan troglodytes isolate Yerkes chimp pedigree #C0471 (Clint) chromosome 19, whole genome shotgun sequence.